ACUCAAAUGAAUUGACGGGAACCCGCACAAGUAGUGGAGCAUGUGGUUUAAUUCGACGAUAAGCGAGGAACCUUACCCAGGUUCACACAACAGAAGUCUUUGGAAACAGAGAUGUGCCUUCGGGAGCUGUUGUACGGUGCUGCAUGGUCGUCGUCAGCUCGUGUCGUGAGAUGUACGGUUAAGUCCGGAAACGAGCGCAACCCCUAGUCUGUGUUAAAUAUUCACAGAUGACUGCCUACUUUAAGUAGGAGGAAGGUGGGGAUGACGUCAGAUCAGCAUGGUCCUUACGCCUGGGGCCACACACGUGCUACAAUGGGGUGGACAAAGGGAAGCCAAGCCGCAAGGCGGAGCAAAUCCCACCAAUACACCCCUCAGUUCGGAUUGAGGGCUGCAACUCGCCCUCAUGAAGCUGGAAUUACUAGUAACCGAGUAUCAGCCAUGGCUCGGUGAAUACGUUCUCGGGUUUUGUACACACCGCCCGU
rnacentral:rRNA from 1 species